rnacentral:rRNA from 1 species
AACGAACGCUGGCGGCAGGCCUAAUACAUGCAAGUCGAACGAUCCUUCGGGAUAGUGGCGCACGGGUGAGUAACACGUGGGAACAUACCCUUGGGUGCGGAACAACGUCGGGAAACUGACGCUAAUACCGCAUAAUGACUCCGGUCCAAAGAUUUAUCGCCCAAGGAUUGGCCCGCGCUAGAUUAGGUUGUUGGUGAGGUAACGGCUCACCAAGCCUACGAUCUAUAGCUGGUCUGAGAGGAUGAUCAGCCACACUGGGACUCGAGACACGGCCCAGACUCCUACGGGAGGCAGCAGUAAGGAAUAUUGGACAAUGGGGGCAACCCUGAUCCAGCCAUGCCGCGUGAGUGAAGAAGGCCUUAGGGUUGUAAAGCUCUUUCAGGUGCGAAGAUAAUGACUGUAACACCAGAAGAAGCCCCGGCUAAAUUCGUG